UACGUAGGCAGCGAGCGUUUGUUCGGAAUUACUGGGCGUAAAGAGUGUGUAGGCGGUGUUCCCAGUCUGUUGUGAAAUCUCCCGGCUUAACUGGGAGGGUGCAGCGGAAACUAGAAUGCUAGAGGGUGGGAGAGGUAAGCGGAAUUCCUGGUGUAGCGGUGAAAUGCGCAGAUAUCAGGAGGAACACCGGUGGCGAAGGCGGGUCUCUGGGUAGUAACUGACGCUGAGGAACGAAAGCGUGGGUAGCGAACAGG
rnacentral:rRNA from 1 species